GAAAUACUGAUUCCCGUAUGAUCACCAAAGUUAAGCAACAUCAAGCCUGAUCAGUACCUAGAUGGGUGAUCACUUCAGAAUAUCAGGUGCUGUA
rnacentral:rRNA from 1 species